GGCCCAUUAGUCUAGGGGUUAUGACGUUGGAUUUUGAUUUCAAAGACAUCAGUUCGAAUCUGAUAUGGGCCU
rnacentral:tRNA from 2 species